rfam:Tursiops truncatus cont1.307491, whole genome shotgun sequence.
GGAAGGUACUCCUGGGGUGCAGAUAGGACUCUGCACCCGAGAAUCAUCUUGCCAUUUUUAUAGGAGCUGCUCAGCCCUUGGAUGCAGUCAUCCUAGUGAUGAUGGCUUUCUGGCUUUUCCAUCUGUUAGAGUGGUUGCUUAUCAGAGUAUUCUUCCUUGCUUUUGGU